rnacentral:rRNA from 1 species
AUUGAACGCUGGCGGCAUGCUUUACACAUGCAAGUCGAACGGUAACAGGCCUUCGGGUGCUGACGAGUGGCGAACGGGUGAGUAAUGCAUCGGAACGUGCCCAGAGGUGGGGGAUAACGCAGCGAAAGCUGUGCUAAUACCGCAUGUGAUCUGAGGAUGAAAGCGGGGGACCAGGCAGCAAUGUUUGGCCUCGCGCCUUUGGAGCGGCCGAUGUCAGAUUAGGUAGUUGGUGGGGUAAAGGCCUACCAAGCCGACGAUCUGUAGCUGGUCUGAGAGGACGACCAGCCACACUGGGACUGAGACACGGCCCAGACUCCUACGGGAGGCAGCAGUGGGGAAUUUUGGACAAUGGGCGCAAGCCUGAUCCAGCAAUGCCGCGUGCGGGAAGAAGGCCUUCGGGUUGUAAACCGCUUUUGUACGGAACGAAAAGGCUCUGGCUAAUACCUGGGGCUGAUGACGGCACCGUAAGAAUAAGCACCGGCUAACUACGUG